rnacentral:rRNA from 1 species
ACGCUCGACACCUACGGGAGCAGCAGUGGGGAAUAUUGCACAAUGGGGGAAACCCUGAUGCAGCGACGCCGCGUGAAGGAAGAAGUAUCUCGGUAUGUAAACUUCUAUCAGCAGGGAAGAAAAUGACGGUACCUGACUAAGAAGCCCCGGCUAACUACGUGCCAGUAGCCGCGGUAAUCUGAGCGGGCUGGCAAGGC